CAGAGGUCCCGAGCGUUGUUCGGAUUCAUUGGGCGUAAAGGGUGCGUAGGCGGUCUUCUAAGUUUGAUGUGAAAUCCCGGGGCUUAACCCCGGAAUUGCAUUGAAUACUGGAGGACUGGAGUCCCGGAGAGGAAACUGGAAUUUACGGUGUAGCAGUGAAAUGCGUAGAGAUCGUAAGGAAGACCAGUGGCGAAGGCGAGUUUCUGGACGGGUACUGACGCUGAGGCACGAAGGCCGGGGGAGCAAACGGGAUUAGAUACCCCGGUAGUCCUGGCAGUAAACGGUGCAUGUUUGGUGUGGGAGGAAUCGACCCCUUCCGUGCCGGAGCUAACGCGUUAAACAUGCCGCCUGGGGAGUACGGUCGCAAGAUUA
rnacentral:rRNA from 1 species